GCCACGGUGGCCGAGUGGUUAAGGCGGCAGAUUUAAGCUCUGCUACAGAAAUGUGCAUGCGUUCGAACCGCAUCCGUGGCA
rnacentral:tRNA from 1 species